AUCCUGAAGAAGAGCCGUCAGAUCACUGAGUGCGAGCGCCGGUGUUCGCAAGCUUCUCGAGUCCUCGCUGAUCCUUUCUUCUCCCCGCUGCUCCGCUUCUUCGUCCUCUCCUUCCCCUCCUCUUGCGCCGCCCGUGAAAAUCCGCUGCCGACCAGGGCGUAGGCCGCUCGUGAUCCUUUCCUCCUCUAGCUACGUGUGCCACUCCGCCGAGAACCAGGGCGCUACGCAGGUGAAUCGAGGAAACCAAAGGAAAAAUCGACAAGAAAACAACCCAAAUCGAAGCAGCAAUUGAGGAAUCUGUAGAUCGAGCAAGUGUAGACAUGCUUAUGUGCAACAACUUCUUGAGCUCUAUUGCUUUUAUAUAAGCAUGGCUGAAACCGUCAUCAGCGAUUGAGCAGUUCCGGUGGGUCAAGGCCUUCCUUCUGGAUGCAUGGCAAGAAUUCCGGAGCCGGUUUGGCGUCGUCGAAUCACAGUUAUGGCAUUGGGAUCGCGCAGUUCCUUGGGGGCAAGAAUUUUCUUUUCACUGGUGGAACUGAAUUCCUGGCAAAAGUUCUUAUAGAGAAUCUUGAGGGCAAAUCCUGAUGUUGGCAAGAUAUAUAUGUUGAUCAAGGCCAAAGACAGUCAUUGAAAAGAUUGCAAAACGGGGUAGAAGACACAAAUUUGUUCAAAUGCUUGCAAGAAAUCUACGGGAAAGACUACCACAGCUUUGUAUCAAGGACGAUGUCAGAGAAGCCAACAUUGGCAUUGCCCCUGAGCUAGCCGAUGAUAUCGCAGAACAAGUGGAUAUCAUAGUUAACGCAGCAGCGAAUGCCACAUUUGAUGAGAGGUUGUUUCAAGAAUGUGCAGCUCGAUUCAAGAACAAAUACAAGUAAAUUUCAAUAUUAAUUUUACUUAUUAUCCCUAUUAUCAGACUAACUAUAUAUUAAAAUUAGUAUAAGUUGAAGAUUACUCACUACAUAAUAUUUUCACAGUUACGACAGCUUCAAAGUGAAAAAUGAUCCAAAUAUCCAAUGGACAUAGAACAGAAUGAGUACUAGAAGCAUCUGUCACUCUUCAGAGUAUUUUGAAGGCUAUGAACAUUGUAGCGUUAACUAUGUCACAUCUGUACAUCAAACCUCAUACAACUAUGUCCAUUAUCUUUUUAACUAAGUAUAGGACUGCUAAUUUCAAGUGGUCUUCCAGUUUAUUCACCUAUUUUCAUUACUGGCCAAAUCGUUUACUACUAAAUAACCACUGUAUUUACCUCUGCACAAAAUAUCAAUGACGGUACAUAUAAACAACGGAGAAAAAGCCAUCUAACUUGCCAAAUUGGGCAUACAUAGGACCAACGAAAAUUAGCGAAGGAAACCAACGUUACAAGGCCCAACGAAUGGGCUACCAGGUGUGGCAACGCCGCUCCAUAUUUCUAGUAUAUUAUUUACUUAAAAACAUGUAUUAUAUCCAUGUAUAGCUUAUUUUUUAAAAUAAUAUUUUUAUAUUUAUAGUUAUCAUCGAAUUUUGUGAUUAUUAAAUUAAUUAUAGCUCUCGCCACCCUAUCCCCGUCCAACCAGCGGUCCGUCAUUCGCAGGCAUCCCCGCCACCCCGCCCCCUGUGUUCGACGCUGUCGUUGGGUCGGUCUGCUACCCUAAGCAUCCCUCUAAGUCCAGAGAGCAUAUACUGAGCCCCAAAACAGUGAAACCCUCUCCCAAAAUCCCAUCGGCGGUGAGAAAAGAAUUGUCAAUCGUAGAAUCCAAGAUUUUCAGUCGCGUGAUUAAUAUGAGGUGUGGUUAAAAGAAAACACACUGUUUCAUUUGCCACAACGACUAUCUGUCUACAUAUCCGGUAGAUACUUUAAAAAUUUAUCCUCUAUAACACUAUUAUAAUAUCCUUUAAUACUAUUACAAUACUCCUAUUUUUUUUUAUCUCUAACAGCUACUUUAUUUUUUGCAUUCUAUUACUUUCCAUCUCUCUUUAGAUUCGCGAUCAUUAUCUGUGAACAGUGAUAUUGUAUGAGAGAGAAUCUGCAAAUUUAUAGUAGCUGUAGCACUGGAUAUGCAGCAUUGUAGCAGUGGAAGCGGCAUCCACUAGAGCUUGUUUGUGGCCGCUUUGAGUCCGUAUCCGUCGACACUGUGAAGUGGAUUGGUUUUUGCCGAUUCUGUUGGAAUGAUCUAAGGAUAACUCUAGUGGUUAUAGAUAGCAGCUAAGGUCAUCUCCAACGGAGGCUUCAUCCGCCGGCCGUAUUCCUGUUGAUGUACCUUUUGCCGAUCGACUCUCCCGCAACGCUCUCCAACAGGUAUGUUUUCCAGCGCUACAGGGAAGCCGGACAGGAGGAGACGGCGGUAUUUUUGCGGACGAAAACCGGACGUCGUAUUACUGUUCACGGAGUAUGCAUGUGGACCCGAAGAGAUGAGGAGAGUAAUGGAAGGUAGGAAAUAUAGUAGUUGUUGGAGAUAGAAAAAAUAGAAGAUACUGUAAUAAUAUUAGAGGAUGCUGUAAUAGUAUUAUAGGGGAUAAAUUUUUAAAGUAUCUGUUAGAGAUGACCUAAGUAGCUUUUAUUCCUAUGAUAGAGUAAUGUGUAAUGUCAAGAGCCCCAAUACGGGGAAGAACCCUUUCUUGUUGCUCUCGCAUGUCGCAUCCAGGCUCCGCUGCGCCAAACUGCAGUUCCCAAACUUUUGUUUAAUCUCAAAAAGUCGGAUAUGGUAAACAUCAGUUAAUUGAAAUCCAGCUAA